rnacentral:pre_miRNA from 1 species
AUGUAGUGUAGCAUGCCCGUUUGUUGAAUUACUUUGAUGAAUAUUUGUUAUUUAAUUACUUUUGGGUAACGGGGUGUUACAGUAUA